UCAGGAUGAACGCUGGCGGCGUGCUUAACACAUGCAAGUCGAACGGUGAAGCCAAGCUUGCUUGGUGGAUCAGUGGCGAACGGGUGAGUAACACGUGAGCAACCUGCCCUGGACUCUGGGAUAAGCGCUGGAAACGGCGUCUAAUACUGGAUAUGAGCCCCUAUCGCAUGGUGGGGGUUGGAAAGAUUUUUUGGUCUGGGAUGGGCUCGCGGCCUAUCAGCUUGUUGGUGAGGUAAUGGCUCACCAAGGCGUCGACGGGUAGCCGGCCUGAGAGGGUGACCGGCCACACUGGGACUGAGACACGGCCCAGACUCCUACGGGAGGCAGCAGUGGGGAAUAUUGCACAAUGGGCGAAAGCCUGAUGCAGCAACGCCGCGUGAGGGAUGACGGCCUUNGGGUUGUAAACCUCUUUUAGCAGGGAAGAAGCGAAAGUGACGGUACCUGCAGAAAAAGCGCCGGCUAACUA
rnacentral:rRNA from 1 species